ACUCACAGUGAAGAAUGUUCUGUUAUUUCCGUGUUUGUUUGGGUUUGUAACUCACAGUGCUCCUUAAAUGCUGUCCCAGCAGUGAGCAUACACCAGAUAAUGAAUUUUUAGAGCAUGGUGGACUUUGUUCUGGCAGCUGAGUACCUCAUGAGUACUAACAAUAAAGAGAAAGGCUUAGAGAUGGCCUCCAGGAUGAGCUGUUCCAUCACCUUUCCAGAGACUAAGAAAGCUGUUCUGGUGUCAAUUCUUUGGAAUACAGAGAAAACUAGCUCAAGCCCUGAAAUGGCUAUUUUGCACCUGUCUGCCACCUCAUCUGUCUGCUCCUGUCUGCCAUAUGAAGACGUGCUGUCUUACUAGCAAAGUAUCUGUGCUAGAAUAUGGAUUUAAUAACAGGGCACAUUUGGAAGAUGUACACUGCUGAAAGAGUUCUGAACAAUCACAUCUUUACUGUACACAGAGGCCCACAGAUGUCUUGCAAGGACAUAAUUAACCAGGAGAAUUUUUAAGGUGCUGCCCACACAAAGAUACUAAAGAAGAGAAGGUCAGUAAAGAACGUUGGGGUAUGUAGAAUUGUGUUAUAAUGGCUUCCAAACACUUUAUGACUUUCCCUGGAGGAGUGCACAGUCACUGGAAGGGACAAGUGUUUAGACUUAUUUUACAACCUGUAGACUUUUAGAAAGAUGUACGUAGACAACCAAAAAUAUCUCUUAUGU